UAAGGGGUGCUUGCCUGUUUGGGCUUGCUGAGAUUAUACCCAUUGACCUGAAACGGAUAAUGCCGUCGUAGGGAGAUUCC
rnacentral:ncRNA from 1 species